AAAGCUUUAAGUUAAAAAAACUAAUAACCUUCAAAGUUAUAAAUAUAAAUUUUUAUAAGCUUUA
rnacentral:tRNA from 1 species